AGAGUUUGAUCCUGGCUCAGGACGAACGCUGGCGGCGUGCCUAACACAUGCAAGUCGAACGGGGAUAAGUAGCUUGCUAUUUAUUCUAGUGGCGCACGGGUGAGUAACGCGUAGAUAAUCUGCCUUAGACUCUGGGAUAACAUCUCGAAAGGGGUGCUAAUACCGGAUAAGCCCACGGGGACGUGAGUUCUUGCGGGAAAAGGGGGCCUCUGCAUAUGCUCUUGAUCUAAGAUGAGUCUGCGUACCAUUAGCUUGUCGGUAGGGUAAUGGCCUACCAAGGCGACGAUGGUUAGCUGGUCUGAGAGGAUGAUCAGCCACACUGGGACUGAGGCACGGCCCAGACUCCUACGGGAGGCAGCAGUGGGGAAUUUUGCGCAAUGGGGGAAACCCUGACGCAGCAACGCCGCGUGAGUGAUGAAGGCUUUCGGGUCGUAAAGCUCUGUCUAGAGGGAGGAAGUGAUAUUCGGUUAAUACCCGGGUUUCUUGACGGUACCUCUGAAGGAAGCACCGGCUAACUCCGUGCCAGCAGCCGCGGUAAUA
rnacentral:rRNA from 1 species